rnacentral:rRNA from 1 species
CCCUUAGAUGUUCUGGGCAGCACGCGCGCUACAAUGGUCUUCGCAAACGGAUGCAUUCUCGAAGGAGAAUGCCAAUCUUGGAAUCUAUGCCUUGGUCGGGACAGUUGCUUGCAAUUUUUCGACUCGAACCAGGAAUUCCUUGUAAUCGUGAUUCAUCACAUCACGAUGAAUACGUCCCUGCCCUUUGUACACACCGCCCGUCGCUCCUACCGAUUGAGUGCUCCGGUGAAUAAUUCGGACUACCGCAGUCGGGAGCUCUUCUUGAUCGCGGUGGAAAGUUUAGUGAACCAAAGCACUUAGAGGAAGGAGAAGUCGUAACA